AGCUCCAAUAGCGUAUAUUAAAGUUGCUGCAGUUAAAAAGCUCGUAGUUGCAUUUCCGAGGCAAGGGAUUAGUCCGACCUUUGGUGGGUAUUUAAUCCUCUUGCCUCGUCCUUGAGUGGUGCUUCUUGGUAUUAAGUUAUCGAGGAGAUAGCCGCUCAUCGUUUACUGUGAGAAAAUUAGAGUGUUCAAAGCAGGCUUAUGCCGUUGAAUAUAUUAGCAUGGAAUAAUAAGAUAGGCCCUCGGUCCUAUUUUGUUGUUUUGAGAACCAAGGUAAUGAUGAAUAGGGACAGUUGGGGGUAUUCGUAUUCAGUUGUCAGAGGUGAAAUUCUUAGAUUUACGGAAGACGAACUACUGCGAAAGCAUUUACCAAGGAUGUUUUCA
rnacentral:rRNA from 1 species